UACGGAGGGUGCAAGCGUUAUCCGGAUUCACUGGGUUUAAAGGGUGCGUAGGAGGGCAGGUAAGUCAGUGGUGAAAUCUCCAAGCUUAACUUGGAACUGCCGUUGAUACUAUCUGUCUUGAAUAUUGUGGAGGUGAGCGGAAUAUGUCAUGUAGCGGUGAAAUGACUUAGAUAUGACAUAGAACACCAAUUGCGAAGGCAGCUCGCUACUCAAUUAUUGACUCUGAGGCACGAAAGCGUGGGGAUCAAACAGG
rnacentral:rRNA from 1 species